CAUUCUUCCAUCACAUGUACAGCUGAUUCUCAAGAUCUUGUACACUAAUGAGAUGCUAUUGAACCCACACUACUACACUGUCUGAGCCAAGGACUACAUGCUUUCUGGUAAGUUUUGAUUACAAUAAUGGUUGGGGUGAAUAUAUUUUUAGUUUUAGUUAGUUUUUGCUACCAUGUGGGUUUUAACUUGCUUGAGCCUGCUAACUGAGGAGUGUUGAUUCACCUGUUUCCAUACAUGUUUCAUUUUAAAACAUUUAUCUUACAAAGGAGUUGUUUAAUCUAACUGCUUAACUAUUUAUCUGUACAUGGAAUUGUAUUUAUUUAUUUUUCUCACUUCUUUUCUAAUCUUUACAGGAAAAUGCCACGGGCACUAUCUGAUGUGUGGAGACAUUUCACUGUAGCUAACGUAGAAGGAAAAGCAGUGUCAAUUUGUAAAUACUGUGCCAAAUCAUAUGUGAAGAAUGCAACAAAGAUGCAAAAUCAUCUGGCCAAGUGCAUAAAGUUCCCUCAGCGCUCACAACAAGCAACAACCUCUGACAAAAGUCCCUCUACUUCUAUUCGAGUAUUCUACAAGAGCACAGACCCAAGGGACAACAUACGCACCGGUCUCUACAUUGCAGAUGAGCUGAAGGCAGUCAUCAAUGACCUUGGACCACAGAAGGAGUUUGCACUGGGGACAGACAAUGCUGUGAACAUGAAGGCUGCUUGGUCUAAAGUGGGAGGAGUCCUUCCCUCACAUCACACCCAUUGGCUGUGCUGCUCAUGCAUUGAAUCUGCUCCUCAAGGACAUGAUGGCACUGAAAACAAUGGAUACACUCUACAAGAGAGCCAAGGAAAUGGUUAGGUAUGUGAAGGGUCAUCAAGAUAUAGCAGC
ensembl:lncRNA